GAUGAAGAACGCAGCGAAGUGCGAUAAGUAGUGUGAAUUGCAGAAUUUCGUGAAUCAUCGAAUCUUUGAACGCAAAUUGCACUCUCCGGUUUUCCGGGAGAGUAUGCCUGUUUGAGGGUCAGCCUAAAUAAAUUCGGCUUCGUUGCUGUUGUUUUCGCGGUAACGUUUUUAGUCGGGAUUUGGGUCAUCUUAAACCGAAAGGUUUUUAAGCGACUUAAAAUUUUUUUACGAUCCCACGAACGUUUCUAAGUACUUCUUACACGUUCAAGGUAUCGAAAACCCCUAUUAGGCGUGGUCGUCGUAUCGGAUCGCGUCCAUAAUAUUUAUUCUUUAACUGACCUCAGACAGGUAAGAAUACCCGCUGAACUUAAGCAUAUCAAUAAGCGGAGGA
rnacentral:misc_RNA from 1 species